GACCGAAGCCCCGCGCCCCUUUGCUGAGGCGAGGGACGCGAACCCCAAGCGAAGACGCCGAGGCCGGGGGAGGCCCUGCGGUGCGUGAGCGCCCACGGGAGCUGCGGGUGCCAACUCGGAGUUUCGCUUUCUAACUUCGCGUGCCUCUGCGAACCGUCAACAUUCCACAGCCAGCAAUGUAAAUUGAGAAAAGCGGAGCAUUGCAAAGUGGGAGGAAAAACAUCAUGUCCCAUUACCAAAGAUUAUUUCCCUGAAAGG